GCCUACGACCAUAUCACCCUGAAUGCGCCCGAUCUCGUCUGAUCUCGGAAGCUAAGCAUGGUCGAGCCUGAUUAGUACUUGGAUGGGAGACUGCCUGGGAAUACCAGGUGUUGCAGGCU
rnacentral:rRNA from 1 species